CGACGCGCUGCCAGCACCCACACUGCUGCAGAGCCUUAGCACAGGCUGCUUGCUCCGCUGGAUCACACCCAAACCAUGGCCUGGCUGGCUCCUUGUUGACUUUCAAUUCUGAGAUGAAUGAUCAUCUCCCUGGAAAAGGCUCUGCCACUCUCCAAUGACCCAGCUCUGGUUUAUCUUCACCGUGCUGAUCGCCCCUGCAAUCUGUUUGCUUUCAGCUCUUGGACCUGUUCUUCCCUACCCACCCAGGUGCGCUUGGUGCUGUGUGCACAGUAGGUGCUCGGUCAAUAUUUGUCCAGGGCAUAACACGCCUUCCAGCAGUGUGGCUCCAGCUCCGAGGGCAUAUUCAUCAUCGGGGGAUCUUGUUAGAAUCAAGGGUCCAGUUCAGUAGGUCUGGAGUGGGGCCCAGGAGUCUAAGUGUCUGAGAAGCUUCCAGGUAUUGUGAUGCUGCAGCUGAGUCCCGCACAGAUCGGCAGCACCGGUUUUGAAGGCCACGUGUACUCCAGAUUCUUGUCACCAACGGUACCACUGCUCCGCCUUGAAUGCUGUCUCCCCUGAGCUGUGAGUCCCAGGGCAGAUGCUACCCUUCUCACCCUGUGUCCCAGCUCCAGUCACACCCACUGGUCCAAUGUGGGCUGGCACAGAAGACUGCAGGCCUGGGGGUGCCCAGCACUGGGACUGGAGAUCAGAACACCUGACUUCAAAGUCUGGUUUGAGCACUUUCUAGCUGUGUGCCCUUGGGACACCCCGCUUGACUGAGAAUUAUAGUGGAGAUCAACCCAACGGCCUCAAAUUCCAGGGACCUGCAGAUGGAUACUAGUGUCCUUCAAUAUCAAGAUUCUGGAAUUCUUGCCUCCUUAUUUAUUCAAAUGGAUUAACUGAGAACCUACUGUGUGCAGACAGCAUUCUCAGUGCUGGGAUACAAGCAUGAACAAGACAAGGCAAGGAGACUGGUCCUUUGCCCAGAUCCCACAGCCAGAGAGGGGCGAGGCAGGAUGGAAACCCUGGUCUGUGUCCCUCGGAGCCUGGGCCCUGGGAUGUGUGAGUCUCUUCUGGCUUCUGUAACAAAUGACCACUAACUGGCUAGAGACAGCACAACUGUAGCAUCUUACAGUUCCGGAGCUCAGGAGUCGGAAACGGGCCUUGCCUGGCUAAAAUCAAGGUGUCAGCCGGAAGGCGCUCUCCCUGGAGGCUCUAGGGGAGAAAGUUGUUUCUUGCCUUUUCCAGCUUUUAGAGGCUGCCUGCAUUCCUUGGCUCAUAGCCGCCUCUUCCAUGUUCAAGGCCAGCAAUGGAGCAUCCUUAAAUCUCCCUUUCUGACUCUGGCCGUCCUGUCUCCCUCUUAUGAGGACCCUUGUGAUGACACUGGCUCCUCCAGAUCAGCCAGGAUCACCUCCCCACUUGGAGAUCCUUGACUUCCUCACAUCUGUAAAGUCCCUUCUGCCGUGUGACAUAUAAGGAGGCCAAGAUGCGUCUGAUCUUUAAAAGACUAAAGCCCCCCAAACAAGUCUGAGGAGACUCCUGGCUUGUUUUUAUUUUGGCCAGGAAAGUUUUCCAAUAUCCCUGGCCUUCAGGCUUGUCCCCUAGGAGGAUGGAGGGACUGAGCUGGGGAGAUGUCUGUGAAUGGGGGUGGGGUGGAUUCACAGGUUUCAGGGGUUAGAACGCCAGUGUCUUUGGGACCCAUUAUUCUGCCUUCCACUGCGUGGAUGAUGGGAAAGCUCCUGGUUCCAGGGCGCAAACUUAGCCUGGCUCUUUGGCCUCUCUGUGCCUCAGUUUAUAUAAUGAGGGUGAGGAGAAUAUCUGUUGGGGUUGUUGAAGUAGUGAAGGAGUUGGUAAUUGAAAAGUGCUAAGCAUAUGCCAGGCACUGUGGACACAUGCGCUGUACCUUUUGGGAGGGCACAUCCCUCCCCCACCUGCUACCACCCCACCCAGGCUGGCAUGCAGUGGUGCAAUCACAGCUCACUGCAGCCUUGACUUUCCGGGGCUUAAGUCAUCCUCCCACCUCAGCCUCCGGAGUAGCUGGGACCACAGGUGCACACCAUUACACCCAGCUAAUUUUUAAAUUUUUUGUAGAGACGGGGUUUUGCCAUGUUGUCUAGGCUGGAAGUCCAUCUGACAUUGAAGUUCUCUUUCAGUUUUGACAUCUGAUCCAUCUAGGGCUGUGUGUGUGUGACAGUGUGUGUGUGAUUGUGUGUGUGUGUAUGAUUGUGUGUGUGUAUGAUUGUGUGUGUGUGUAUGUGUGCACAUGUCUUUAUGGGGAUUGAGGGUGGGUGGAACAGAGACUGGGAGAGACACUUUGUGAAAUGUUUAUAUUUUAUGCCUUUUGAUGUAAUUCCAACUAGAUCUUAAAUCAUGCAGCAGGAAGCUCCUUAAAAUUUUUAAUUUGUUGUUUUUCUUAGAAAUGAUUAUUUCCACAUUGCGCC
rnacentral:lncRNA from 1 species